GAGUGAUGCGUGUCCAGGUAGAGGUUUCCACCACCCCAGGACCCGGGAAUUUUGCUGACAAGGAUAACCAGCUGAGCUGGAUUUAGAGCAGUUCCUUAAUUGCUCUGGAGCAGUAACAGCAGUUAAAAAUUAAUACUAACUAUCAGUUGCGUGUAAAUGAUGUUCUAGGCACAGUGCUGAAGGCCACCUCUACAUUUUCUCAUUUAAUCUCCACAACAACCCGGUGAGGUAGCACUGCCACCCACCUUGACAGAUGAAGCUCAGGGAGUGUAAAUGACUUUGCCAGAGACACUACAGCGAGCGGCGGCGAGAGGACCCGAACACAACGCAUCCAGAAUGCUACCGUCGGAGAUAAAGUAGCCAACUGCUGUCUUCCAGUCAUACACCUCUGGUUUUGACCCAUGCUUACAAAUGGAGGUUAUCCAAAAGAAAAGCUACUCUUAAGUCCUGGAGAUGUGUACCAAGCUCUGUCUUCUCCACGUGGCCCGUCCAGCUCAGGCAUCUGUAUCUGGUGCCUGUUUUGGACUCCCUGUCUCUAGUCUCUCUCCUCUCACCAAUCUGUACUUCAGACCGUGGACAGAAACAGCUUUGAAAAACAUGCCUGUUUGAAAAUCUCCAGGGCUCCAGCUGCCUCCAGAAUAAAGUCUUUUCCCUGCUGGGCAGCCACUUCCCCAGCCCCUGCCUGCCGCACCCUGGUGCUCCAGCCCAAGCCGGAUCGCUCUGUGCCCUGAACGCUGAGCGCACUUCCAUGCCUUACUGUUAUUAUUAGCCCUUGCUAGUCCCUCUCCCUGCAA